rnacentral:rRNA from 1 species
GGGCCCGCACAAGCGGUGGAUUAUGUGGAUUAAUUCGAUGCAACGCGAAAAACCUUACCUGGCCUUGACAUGUACCGAAUUUAGCAGAGAUGCUUUAGUGCUCGAAAGAGAACGGUAACACAGGUGCUGCAUGGCUGUCGUCAGCUCGUGUCGUGAGAUGUUGGGUUAAGUCCCGCAACGAGCGCAACCCUUUGCCAUUAAUUGCCAUCAUUUAGUUGGGCACUUUAAUGGGACUGCCGGUGACAAACCGGAGGAAGGUGGGGAUGACGUCAAGUCCUCAUGGCCCUUAUGGCCAGGGCUUCACACGUAAUACAAUGGUCGGUACAGAGGGAAGCCAACCCGCGAGGGGAGCCAAUCUCAGAAAGCCGGUCGUAGUCCGGAUUGUUGUCUGCAACUCGACAGCAUGAAGUCGGAAUCGCUAGUAA